rnacentral:rRNA from 1 species
UACAGAGGUCUCAAGCGUUGUUCGGAUUCAUUGGGCGUAAAGGGCGCGUAGGUGGUUCUGUAUGUCUACCGUGAAAGCGUACGGCUCAACCGUAUUUUGUCGGUAGAAACUGCAGGACUUGAGGCUGAGAGGAGCGUGGAAUUCCCAGUGUAGAGGUGAAAUUCGUAGAUAUUGGGAAGAACACCGGUGGCGAAGGCGGCGCUCUGGACCGAGACUGACGCUGAGGCGCGAAAGCGUGGGGAGCAAACAGG